GAUGAACGCUGGCGGCGUGCCUAAUACAUGCAAGUCGAGCGAACGGACGAGAAGCUUGCUUCUCUGAUGUUAGCGGCGGACGGGUGAGUAACACGUGGAUAACCUACCUAUAAGACUGGGAUAACUUCGGGAAACCGGAGCUAAUACCGGAUAAUAUUUUGAACCGCAUGGUUCAAAAGUGAAAGACGGUCUUGCUGUCACUUAUAGAUGGAUCCGCGCUGCAUUAGCUAGUUGGUAAGGUAACGGCUUACCAAGGCAACGAUGCAUAGCCGACCUGAGAGGGUGAUCGGCCACACGGGAACUGAGACACGGUCCAGACUCCUACGGGAGGCAGCAGUAGGGAAUCUUCCGCAAUGGGCGAAGGCCUGACGGAGCAACGCCGCGUGAGUGAUGAAGGUCUUCGGAUCGUAAAACUCUGUUAUUAGGGAAGAACAUAUGUGUAAGUAACUGUGCACAGCUUGACGGUACCUAAUCAGAAAGCCACGGCUAACUACGUG
rnacentral:rRNA from 1 species